CAACGGGUUAGGGUUAGGCAACGGGUUAGGGUUAGGCAACGGGUUAGGGUUAGGCAACGGGUUAGGGUUAGGGUUAGGGUUAGGCAACGGGUUAGGCAACGGGUUAGGGUUAGGGUUAGGGUUAGGGUUAGGGUUAGGCAACGGGUUAGGCAACGGGUUAGGGUUAGGGUUAGGGUUAGGGUUAGGGUUAGGCAACGGGUUAGGCAACGGGUUAGGCAACGGGUUAGGCAACGGGUUAGGCAACGGGUUAGGCAACGGGUUAGGCAACGGGUUAGGGUUAGGGUUAGGGUUAGGGUUAGGGUUAGGGUUAGGGUUAGGGUUAGGGUUAGGGUUAGGGUUAGGGUUAGGGUUAGGGUUAGGGUUAGGGUUAGGGUUAGGGUUAGGGUUAGGGUUAGGGUUAGGGUUAGGGUUAGGGUUAGGGUUAGGGUUAGGGGUAGGGUUAGGGUUAGGGUUAGGGUUAGGGUUAGGGUUAGGGUUAGGGUUAGGGUAAGGGUUAGGGUAAGGGUUAGGGUUAGGGUUAGGGUUAGGGUUAGGGUUAGGGUUAGGGUUAGGGUUAGGGUUAGGGUUAGGGUUAGGGUUAGGGUUAGGGUUAGGGUUAGG
rnacentral:lncRNA from 1 species